CUGGGCCGGCGGGACUUUGACGCUGGCGGCACUUUGCCUUUCUCCCGCCCUCCCCACCCGGCUGAUACCCCGGAGGCUGGGUCCCGGGGGUCCGGCUCCCGACAGAGGGCUGCGCUGGAGGAGCCGGGCACGCCCAGGCCGGGCGGCCGGUGGGCGAGGGAUGCGGGCUGCGCUCCCACGGCGCGCGCCGGACACUUGGGGAGCGGAAACGGAUCAGCGAGAGCGGCUUCUUGCUCGGGGCACCUCCGGUGCCUGGCACUAAGCGGGCGCGCAAUAAAUAUUUGUUGAAUGAAUGAGCAGUUGACUUCUGCCUUCACCCCCUGGAGCUUGAACCCGCGCCGCGAGCGGGAGAAGCCGGACUCAGGGCAGACUGAAUCUCCCGGGGCCACCGCUUAGAGCCUGGAAAGCAGAACUUUUAUCACCGGAGAGCUGGUGCAAGGGAGGUGGGCUCCUCAGAAGUAUCAGACCGUUUGCUAGGGGAUCCUCUGCAGGGAAAUUGUUUAGAAAGCCCUAAUUUGGAAGUCCUGUAUCCCCAAACUCCGGGGACCCCCCAACCUUAAGCUGAAGAAACUUAGACCCUCAUGCCCAGACCUCCCUUUCCCAACCAGCCAGCAGCCCAGAGAGCAUUCCCGUGGAGAAAGGGCCAAGGCGCAUCCCCGUCUUUUCUCCGUCAACGACUGCCUUUUCUUGACGAAGAUCCCAAAGGGGCUGCGCAUUUGAACCGCCUUGGGCUCCAGGUGGCGCCCUCUCUGGAGCUCCCCUCUUGGAAUUCAUUUCUUCCUGGAGAGACUUGGAGAAUGAAGAUCCAGGGGUUUCUCCCUACCUUGUACCGAGAAGUAACAUUGCAAGUAGAGUAAAUGACCAGCUUAAUUACGUUCACCUUCGAAGAAGAUUCCUCUAGAGAGAAAUUAUAUCCUCCUUGCAGCCUGUGAAGGUUUUCAUGCGUUUUAGGAAUAUAAAAGAAAGGAAGACAAACAUGUAGUAAAGAUAGUAAAGACAGGUAGUUGGCCAGGCGUGGUGGCUCAUGCCUGUAAUCUCAGCACUUUGGGAGGCCGAGGCGGGUGGAUCACCUGAGGUCACGAGUUCCAGACCAGCCUGGCCAACAUGGUGAAACCCCUUCUCUACUAAAAUACAAAAGUUAGCCAGACGUGCUGGUGUGCUCAUGUAAUCCCAGCUACCCAGGAGGCUGAGGCAGGAGAAUCGCUGGAACCCGGGAGGCAGAGGCUAUAAGUGAGCCGAGAUCGCGCCACUGCACUCCAGCCUGGGCAACAGGGCAAAACUCCGUCUAAAAAAAAAAAAAAAAAAAAAAGACAGUAAAGAUAGAUAGGCAAACAAGGUAACAAGAUAGUAAAGUUUCAUUGGAGAAUUAGUGCAUUUUAACUUUGGUGGUUUUUUACCAAACGAGGUCUGAAAUUUUUUUUAAGUCCUAUUCACGGUGGGUAACUACUAGAGCUGGCUUUUUUUUUCUCCAUCAACCAAUAGGUAUUUAUUCACAAUGUUUAACAAUAAUUUAAGAAAUUCCUCUGUCACUUUAGACUUGACAUCCAGAAAGAAUUCCACCAUCUUCCCUAAAAUAAUUUAUCUUCCUCCAUUAGUAUAUCAUGAUUCUAAUUUCCCAGGUUAGGUAAUUUCUUCUUCCUUCUUCACACACAUAUUAAAUGCCUACACGUUAAGUGCCAGGCAUCACUCUAAGAAUGAGGGUGCAGCGGUGAAUACAGUAGAAUGUGUCCCUUCACAGAGCUUCUAGUCUAGACGGGGAGAGUAAGACAGUAAAGAAAUGUACACCAAACGAGAGUAAACAUUAGAGAAAAAUCCAAAGCAGGGAGGAUAGGGCGUGUAGGGUGCUGCUGUUUUUAUGGAGUGGUCUGGGAAUGCAGCUCUGCUAAGCUGAGGUUGAGGUGUAGACCUGAAGGAAGUGAAGAUUCCGGGAGAAAGUAUUCUGGAAAAGAGGAACAGCAAAGGCAAAGGACACCAAGCGUGUUUGGCAGGUUCCCAGGUCACCCAGAGAUCCUAGGUAAUGAGAGCUGAGUAACAGGUGAGAGGAAACUUGGUCUAAGAGGCAGAGGAAUGCCAGAUAGAGCAGAACCCUGGCAGGCAUAUGGACUUUAUAUAUUACUACUACAAGCGAGGUUUGGAGGGCUUUGAGCCAACCUGGAACAUAUUGAACUUGCCUGCUGUGGUAUGAAUCCAUUGUAAAGGGGCAAGGGAGGCCCACAUGGAUGGAUGUUGGGGGCUAUUUCAGUCAUUCAGGCAAGACAUGAAGGUAGUUGGGUCCAGGAGGAUAAGGAUGGAGGUGAAAAAGAUGUUGGGUUCUUGACAUACGUGAAAAUAGAGCCUGGCCAGAUGUGGUGGCUCACACCUGUAAUCCCAGCAUUUUGGGAGGCUGAGGUGGGAGGAUUGCUUAAGGUCAGGAGUUCAAAAUCAGCCUGGACAACAUAGUGAGACCCUCCUCUACUAUAUAUAUAUCCUGGGCAUGGUGGCUGUGCCUGUGGCCCUAUCUACUCAGGAGACUGAGGUGGGAGGAUUGCUUGAGCCCAGGAGGUCGAGGCUAGCAGUGAGCUAUGAUUGCAUCACAGCAUGAAAAAGAACCAAGAGGAGGGCCACAUGAACGGCAGGGGGAUCUACUACUGUGAGGCUUCAAUCUUUUUUGGAAAGUUUUCCCCCAGAAAGAGAUAUGCUUGUAUUUUUCUUUUUUUUUUUAAAGAGCCCUACCCGUAUCGUACACCCUUCAGGCCCCACACACCUUGGUUCUUGUCCCUGCAUGUGAGAUACAAGCUGGGUCAAGAAUGACUCUAAAGCCAGCUAGGUCGCACAUGCCUGUAGUCCCAGCUGCUAGGGAGGCUGAGGCAAGAGGAUUGCUUGAGCCCAGGAGUUCCAGGCUGCAGUGAGCUAUGCUGAUCAGGUGUCUGCACUAAGUUCCGCAUCAAUAUAGUGACAUCCUGGGAGCAGGCGACCACCAGGUUGCCUAAGGAGGGGUGAACUGGUCCAGGUCAGAAAUGGAGCGGGUCAAUUAUUUGGAAAGCCCUAAUUUGGAAGUCCUAUAUCCCAAAACUUCGGUACUCCUCCUUAGCUGAAGAAAUUCAGGCCCACAUAUCCAGGGGGAAAUCUACCCCAAGACCUCCCUUUUCCAACCAGCCAGCAGCCCAGAGAGCAUCCCUGUGUAGAAAGCAACUGGAUGCAUCCUUGUCUUUUCUCUGUCACUGACUGCAUUAUUGACAAAGAUCCCGUAGCCGGGACUUCACAUUUGAACUGCCUCAGGCUCCAGGUGGCACCCUCUCUUGAGCUCCCCUUCUGAUCAAUAAUGGGAUGGCACCUGUGAAUUGGCACUGCAUUUCAGCUUGGACAACAUAGCAAGACCCUGUCUCUAAACAAAUAUUAAUUCAAAACAAAAAGAGUGACUCUAAGGUUUGGGGCUUGAAUAGCAAGGGAGUAGAGUUGCCAUUGUCUUGGUCACCAUUUAUAUCUAUCUUGUCUUCACCCUUUCCUGUCCCAGUUGCUCUGUAUCAAAGUUUUCCUUUCAAUAUUUCUUUAGGACCCACUUCUUCACGCCUUCCUCAGCAACUUCUCCAUGUGGCCCCUUAGGAGCUAAAGCGCUCUGCACUGGAUUAUAUGACUUGCCUGUUGUGGACUCAGGGCUUCUCAAAGUUACAUGAAUUCUCCGUGCUUAGGGAAAUUGGAUGACCUCUGUUCUCUGACCAAAGGUAUAUUUCAAAUGUACCAUACAUCAGAAUGUUAAUGCUCUUAUCCAGUGGAACUGGGUUUCUACCAAAGCGAUUUCAACUGCCUCAUCCCACUUUUGCAUUGAAGUCUUCUUCUUCCAAAACUAGAGGUUUGAAUUUGGGUGCCAGAGAUUUCAAAUUUGACAAUGGCUUUAAGAGAGUUGGAGGAAAAUGGAAAAUUUUAAUUACAGCUUUCAGUAUGUUUAUCAUUUCCUUUUGAAAACUGAAAUCCACUCACUUUGCUAUAUCAGAUGGCUAAAUCCUAGUGUGAAUGUCCUUUUAAAUCAUAAAAGCAGAGCUUUUCAAAGUCUUUUAUUAGAAUGAGGCUUAAAAUUAGACAGUUAACCAGACAGGCAGUUGGAAUGACAGCGUGAUGCCCAGAAAUACCCUUUUUUUUUCCUCUGAUAUCUUUUCAGAAGAAACAUUAAGCAUAUUCCACAGAGAUCUUCAGACUCCAAAACCCACACAAAUACAAACACACUUAAGCACGCACAGACACUCACAGGCUCUGCUUGAAGGAGCCAUGGAGAAAGAAAUGAGGGUAAGUGGCUUUGAGGGUUAGUUUGACAUGAGUAUUGUGACUAACCCUUACAAUGCCUUAGAGAAUAAAUGGACAGGAUGUGAAGAGAACUGGCAAGAGCCUCACCUCCCUGUUGAUUACCAGGCUUGUUUUUGCCAAAUCAGGCUGGUCUGAUGGCUUCUCUAUGAGAUGCUGUGGAGUCGUUUAAAGUGUCUUUUUUCUCUCUCUCUCUAGAUAAAAGAAGAUUAUUCUGUGAUCCUAUACGAGUCAGUGGCUAAUGGAACUACCAAAAAAAUGAUAACAAUGCAAAUAAUGUAAUUGGUUCUAAGCAGUGCUUUGCAGGCUCCUAAGGAUGGUUCUAAGUAAGCCAGGAGUAGGUGAUACAUUGUAAUUCUGGGACCCAUGAGCUUAGCAGGACAAAGGAAACCAUGAAUCACCCUAGUCCCAGAAGUACCUUUUCAUAGGCCCCAGGGAUUCCAACAUCAUUAUUCACUCUCCACUCUGCAAGUGACUUAGGUCGUGAGCAUCUCUGAGUCUGCACAGGCUCUGCCAUGUGGCUGUGGGGGUCCGGCUUCUCUGAUGGAUGGGAAGAUAAUGCUCGGGGCUCCAAUGCUAUUAUCUCCUCAUCUCUGUCACAAGGAGAUUUAUACUUAUGAUUUACCCUUUUCAUGAACAUGGGAAAAUUCUUUUUUCUAGUGUUGUUUCUGGAAUGUUCUUUGCUGUGUCUAAAUGAGCUGAUUCCACUGUUGGGAGAGGUGGAUGAUGUGAGCAGUAAGAAGGCAUUAGUUUCUUGAAAACUAGAUCCAUAUUUAGGUGAGAUGAAAUCAAACUACCUGAUUUUAAAAAAAACAAACUAUGUUUAUUUACCGUAUGUCUUGAUUCCUAUAUACAUUGAAAAAUUAUAUUCAUAAAACUGUUUAAAAUAAGAGAUGAUGGGCUGGACGCAGUGGCUCAUGCCUGUAAUCUCAGCACUUUGGGAGGCCAAGGCGGGCAGAUCACUUGGGCCCAGGAGUUCGAGACCAGGCUGGGCAACACGGCAAAACCCUGUUUCUACAAAAAAUGCAAAAAUUACCAGGGUGUGGUGGUGUGUGUCUGUAGUAUCAGCUACUCAGGAAGCUGAGGUAGGAGGAUUCCUUGAGCCCAGGAGGUGGAGGUUACAGUGAGCUGAUGUGGCACCAUUGCAUUCCAGCCUAGGUGACAGGGGGACCCUGUUCCCCCUGCCAAAAAAAAAAAAAAAAAAAAAAAAGAACAAAAAGAGAGAUGAUGAAAACUUAGAAGAAAUGUGGAAAAUGUAUAAUGUAGGCAUAAAUGAAAAUAAUUAGAUUGUCUAUGCCGCAAAAUGAUUGUAGCUAUAGAAAGUCAUAGAUUUACAGGGAAAAUGACCAUAGAAGAACAUGAAUAAAUGACAAAUUUUAUUCAACCUUCUUCAAAACAAAAUAAAGAAAAAUACUUGAUUGCUGAAGUCUCUGGGCUAUGUAGCAAGAGUAGGAAGUUAUUUGCCUAAAUCUGAUCAUUUUUUGUGACAAGAGUGAAGUUUCACUCUUCAGUUCCUUGGGCACACGGACACUAUGACUAUCUUGUUUAGACGACUGUCAUAUUCAGCAGAUUUUUCUUCCUGUUUGUGGUCAGUUAAGAAAACAAGCAUUUAAUCCAGAACUUGUAUUUAAUACCAGAACGAUUUUAUUUUUUCACAGCCACCAACUGUAAAGUAACAAUAAUAACUGCGUAUGAAGUAAUGAGUACUGGCUCCAAAUCACCUUGUUUAAUCCCCAUACAACCUAAUGAGGUAAAUAUAACUCUCCGGUCAUUCCCACCUCACAAAUGUGGCUUAGGAGGUGUCCAGAAAUUACCUACAUAAUUAAUUAGUGGCAAAAUAAAAUCCAGACCCAGACAGCCUGACUCCAGGGUCCAUGCUCUAAAGCAGAGGUCUGCAAGCUUUUGCUAUAAAGGCCCCACUAUGGAUAGUUCCCAGGCUUUGCAGGCCAUAUGGCCUUGUUGCAACCACUCAACUCUGCAGUUGUAGCAGGGAAGCCUCUAUGAGCAAUACAUACAAUGAAUUGAGUGUGGUUGUGUCCCAGUAAAACUUCAUUAGUUGUGUUAGAUCAAGUUUAGACUAAACCUGCCUCCUUACAUAUUUUAAGUUCAGCCUAAAGGUUUCUCUGUACAUAGCGAACUAUAAUCUCAAUGGAAGUGUAAACAGACCAAAACCUAUUCUUGUGCCAAUCACUGAGUUUUGGCCAAUCAGAGGAGGCAAACUGUUAAAACUGUCUUCAAAUAAGGUAAACGCCCAGCUGCUGAGCUGUAACCAAUCCGCCUGUUUCUGUACCCCAUUUCCGUUUUCUGUACCUCAUUUCUGUUUUCUGUACAUCACUUUCCUUCUUCUGUUAUAAAUCGUCUUCCACCACGUGGCUGCACUGGAGUUGCUGAGCCUACCCCGGCUCAGGAGGCUGCCUGAUUCUCAAGUCGUUCUUUGCUCAAUUAAAGUAUGUUAAAUUUAAUUUGGCUAUGGUCUUUCUUUUAACAGUAGAUUUGAAAUUUGAAUUUCAUGUAUUUUUAUGCAUAUGAAAUAUUAUUCUGGCCAGGUGCAGU
rnacentral:lncRNA from 1 species